rnacentral:rRNA from 1 species
CAGAACGAACGCUGGCGGCAGGCCUAACACAUGCAAGUCGAGCGCAGUCCUUCGGGACCGAGCGGCGGACGGGUUAGUAACGCGUGGGAACAUACCCUUUUCUACGGAAUAGCCUCGGGAAACUGAGAGUAAUACCGUAUAAGCCCUUCGGGGGAAAGAUUUAUCGGGAAAGGAUUGGCCCGCGUUAGAUUAGAUAGUUGGUGGGGUAAUGGCCUACCAAGUCUACGAUCUAUAGCUGGUUUUAGAGGAUGAUCAGCAACACUGGGACUGAGACACGGCCCAGACUCCUACGGGAGGCAGCAGUGGGGAAUCUUAGACAAUGGGCGCAAGCCUGAUCUAGCCAUGCCGCGUGUGUGAUGAAGGUCUUAGGAUCGUAAAGCACUUUCGCCAGGGAUGAUAAUGACAGUACCUGGUAAAGAAACCCCGGCUAACUCCGUGCCAGCAGCCGCGGUAAUACGGAGGGGGUUAGCGUUGUUCGGAAUUACUGGGCGUAAAGCGUACGUAGGCGGAUCAGAAAGUAGGGGGUGAAAUCCCAGGGCUCAACCCUGGAACUGCCUCCUAAACUCCUGGUCUUGAGUUCGAGAGAGGUGAGUGGAAUUCCAAGUGUAGAGGUGAAAUUCGUAGAUAUUUGGAGGAACACCAGUGGCGAAGGCGGCUCACUGGCUCGAUACUGACGCUGAGGUACGAAAGUGUGGGGAGCAAACAGGAUUAGAUACCCUGGUAGUCCACACCGUAAACGAUGAAUGCCAGUCGUCGGGCAGUAUACUGUUCGGUGACACACCUAACGGAUUAAGCAUCC